CAAGGGGAAUGCCUUGGCAUCAGGAGCCGACGAAGGACGUGACAAGCUGCGAUAAGCCACGGGGAGGAGCAAAUAUCCGCUAUAUCCGUGGAUUUCCGAAUGGGGGAACCCGCUCAAGCAAUACUUGAGCAUCGUGCGUUGAAUCAAAUAGGCGUACGAGGGGAACGGUCUGAACUGAAACAUCUAAGUAGGGCGAGGAAAAGACAUCAACCGAGAUUCCGCAAGUAGUGGCGAGCGAACGCGGAGGAGGCCAAACCGGAGGAUUUAUUCUCCGGGGUUGCGGACAGACAUCACGAUCAGAGGAAGCUAGGAGAACGGCAUGGGAAGGCCGGCUAGAAAGGGUGAGAGCCCCGUAUCCGAAAGCAGGAGCUGACAGUCUGGAUCCAGAGUACCGCGGGACACGUGAAACCCCGUGGGAAACCGGGUGGACCACCAUCCAAGCCUAAAUACUACCUGAUGACCGAUAGAGGAGCAGUACCGUGAGGGAAAGGUGAAAAGGACCCCGGGAGGGGAGUGAAAGAGAACCUGAAACCUUGUGCUUACAAGCAGUCAAAGCACGUUAAAGUGUGAUGACGUACUUUUUGUAGAACGGUCCGGCGAGUUAUAGUAACGAGCAAGCUUAAGGUAUUCAGUACCGGAGGCGAAGCGAAAGCGAGUCUGAAUAGGGCGUAUGAAGUUCGUUGCCAUAGACCCGAAACCGGGUGACCUACGCAUGAGCAGGUUGAAGUGGGGGUGAAACCCCAUGGAGGACCGAACCAACCCCCGUUGCAAUGGUGGUGGAUGACUUGUGCGUAGCGGUGAAAUUCCAAUCGAACUCGGAGAUAGCUGGUUCUCCCCGAAAUAGCUUUAGGGCUAGCGUUAGUUUAGAUUACCGGAGGUAAAGCACUGAAUGGUUUAGGGGCUGAUAAAGUUACCGACGCCUAUCAAACUCUGAAUGCCGGAUAAUUGAUGACUAGCAGUCAGACAGUGUGAGAUAAGUUUCAUUGUCAAAAGGGAAACAGCCCAGACCUACAGCUAAGGUCCCAAAUGUAUGCUAAGUGGAAAACGAUGUGGAAUUGCGAAAACAACCAGGAUGUUGGCUUAGAAGCAGCCACACAUUAAAAGAGUGCGUAAUAGCUCACUGGUCGAGUGACUCUGCGCGGAAAAUGUAACGGGGCUAAGCAUGCAACCGAAGCUUAGGAUUGUCUAAAGACAGUGGUAGGGGAGCGUUCUGUAUGGGGUGAAGUCGCAGCGAGAGCAGCGGUGGACUGUACAGAAGUGAGAAUGCCGGAAUGAGUAGCGAGAAUUAUGUGGGAAUCAUAAUGGCCGAAAAUCUAAGGUUUCUUGGGGAAGGUUCGUCCGCCCAAGGUAAGCCGGGAGCUAAGGCGAGGCCGCAAGGCGUAGUCGAUGCACAUACGGUAAAGAUUCCGUAGCCGCCGAACUUUAAGUCAGAGGGACACUUGCAGAUAGCGGAACCCAGCCGUUGGUUGAGCUGGGCGAAAGGGACUGAAUUUAGUAGGGAAGUCCGCGAUGCUGAAAGGCGAGAAAAGCUCUGAUGGAUACUAAGGCGCCCGUACCGCAAACCGACACAGGUAGAUGAGGAGAGAAUCCUAAGGCCAACGGGAGAAGGGUUGUUAAGGAACUCGGCAAGUUGACCCCGUAACUUCGGAAGAAGGGGAGCCUCGAAAGAGGCCGCAGUGAAUAGGCCCAAGCAACUGUUUACCAAAAACACAGGUUUAUGCUAAAUCGAAAGAUGACGUAUAUGAGCUGACGCCUGCCCGGUGCCGGAAGGUUAAGAGGAGAGCUUAGAGCAAUCGAAGGUUUGAAUUGAAGCCCCGGUAAACGGCGGCCGUAACUAUAACGGUCCUAAGGUAGCGAAAUUCCUUGUCAGGUAAGUUC
rnacentral:rRNA from 1 species